GUUUAGUAAAGAAUUAAAAUCCUUUUUUGAAAAUUUAAAACUUACAAAUAUUAUGAUAUUUAAAGAAUUCUUUGCAACUGAAAAAAAUAAAAAUUAUAACGCUAUUUUAACAAUGUGUAAACAUAUCAAGCAUAUUAACGAAAAAAAGCAAAUUUUAUUAUUUAUAGAAACACAAAUGAUUAAGAAGAAGUUACAAAACAGUAGUAUAAACGUUAUGAAAAUUUUACACAUCUUAUCAGUCUUUAGUGAUACUAAUGAAAAAGGCUUUUUUAACACCGUUAGUGUUGCUGGUUCAACUGAUGGUUUAGUUGAUGGUUUAGUUGAUGGUUCAACUGAUGGUUUAGUUGAUGGUUUAGUUGAUGGUUCAAUUGCUGGUUCAGUUGUUGGUUCAACUGAUGAUGGUAGUGUGGCCAAUAAAAUAAGUUUUUACAACAAUUAUAAAGAGUAUGUCCAAACUCAUGUACGAAUAUUUAAAAAACUAUGUAUCGUCUUACAAAUAAAUGACAUAUUAUUUUUAAAAAUAAUAAAAUAUAUAACAAACAUAUGUGAACUUAUACUUCCUAUUCCAGAACUUAUAAUACAACAUUUUGAAAUAACAAAUAACAAUUUUUAUUUUUAUAUUAAUUCGUUUAUAAGUAAAAACAUUAACUACUUUUUCGAGGAAAUAUCUUCUCACUUGAAACCGCUGGCAUAUAUAUUGGAUAAGGUUAUACAAAAAAAAAUAUUGCUUUUUGUUGUUAUGAGAGAGUUAGACUUAUCAACCGUGACGGAUGAUAGUUGUAUAAAUAACCACAAUAGUAGCUACAAAAAUGGAAAUAGUCAAAGCGGUAACUACGGUGUUAUCACAUCAGAAAACGCAGUCGACCAAAGCAACAAAACAAGUGAAACAAACCCAACUAAUAACUACUCAACAAACAAAAAAAAACAUCUACAAAUAAACGAACUAAAUUAUAAUAAAUCAAAUUCAAAUGUAAUGAAAAAAAGAAAGUUAUGUAAUGACAUAAAUUUAUAUAAUAACACAGAUAUAAUAGUUGGUAUGGAUGAAAACAUUAAUUUUAGCUCAGGUAUAAAAGAUAUAGAGAGUAACUAUGUGACAUACAUAACGACCAACAAUAAUGCAGAAAAUGUAUAUGACGAAAGAAAUAAUAAAAAUGUAAAUUAUUACAAUUUUAUUAAUAUUGUUAAUAAAUUAAAUUUACUGCAACAAAAUAAAGACAAAACAGAUAAAUUAAAUCAAUUAUAUCAUCUUCAUAUAUUUGCAUUUAUAUGUACAACAAUUAAUACAAUUUUUAAAAACGAUAUUUAUUUAGAAAAGUUUACAACCAUAACAAACAAUUUAUUAUUUUUAUUUAAUAAAAAUUAUAGUUGUUAUAUUAUUGCAAUAUCUCUAAUUAACUUUGUCAUAAAAAUUAAACAAUCCAAAUUAUAUGAAUGUAAAAACCAGAUUAGUGAAAUUUUACGUAUAUAUUAUUUUAAUGAUAUAAAUUAUUUUAUAAACAAUUGUUUGUUGAUGUUAUUGGCUUUGUAUUUAUGUCCAUGUGAGUACAAGAAGGAUGGUUUGAUGGAUGAAAAAGAAACUACUUUACCCAAACAAAUGCUAGAACAAAACACAGACAUAACUAGUCCUGUUCACUUUAACAAAAACAACGAUGGAAGAUAUAAUAACGAAAAUAUAAUGACAAUUUAUUACCCAGAAUAUGUAAAUUUAAAAUUAAAAUAUAUUAAACCGUUUCUUAAAAGAGUCAAAAAUAAUACAAACUUAUGUAUUAAAAUAAUUACUUUAAUUUCUAUAGUUAACUCUAUAGACAAAAGUAAUAUAAAAAACAUUUCCUAUUUUAUUUAUUUUUCAACUUUUCAACAUUUUAUUUUAUGUUACUGUUUUGCUCGAGAUAAAAUAAUUAAUAAAAAAUUAAAUAUAUUAUUCAAACUUUUUGUAUUUAAACAUACAGAUACUUUUAUAUUAUCAUAUAUGUUGAAUAAUUUCAAAAUGGAUACUGAAAGUUGUAAUACUAUCCAAGCAAAGAAUAGCAGUAGUAACAUGUUACAACAAUCGAAUGAUAUAUAUGACAAAUUAUCAAAUCAGAAACGAAAAAAUAAAGAAAAUGUACAUUUCUUUUAUUUUGAAAAUUUAUAUUUAUAUAAAUUUUUAUUCCAUUUGAAUAAGAUAAAUGAUUACAUGACAUUUAAUGAUGGAUAUAAAAAUUUUUUAAAAUUUAAAUUAGGUUUUAUUAAAAACAGAUAUGGAAACACGGAUGUUGCUCAUGUAGUAAAUAUACAAAACUAUUUUUAUGGCUUAUGUGACGACAUAUUAGAUGAACAAAUAAAUAUCGAACAGGAUGUUUUUAGUGAAAAUAAUGCUACUACAAUAACUGAUACAAACCAGAUAAAUAUUAUUAUAAAUCAACAAGUAUCCAGUUUUUAUGAAUUUCUUAUAAAUAAACUACUUCACCUGAAUUAUACAAAAUUUUCAAACCUCUUCAAAGAAAUAAUUAUAUUUAUUGAUAGUAAAUUAAAAAAAAGUAUAGAUAUAAAAUACAUAUUUAAUCAUUUGGUUUAUUUUAUUUAUAACAAACAAAAUAAGAUUUUAUUUAUCAACGAAAUAUAUUUGUUAAAUCUGUUUAAUAAAGCUUUUUGUAAAAUUAAAUUGGAUAACUCUAUGAAAAUUUUUGUUUUAUCCAAAAUAAAUGAAAUUGUUAAAAUUUUAUUACAGCGUUAUUAUUUUUAUUUAGAACAGGAAAACCAGGUAAAAGAAAACCAAAUUCGUCGUUUAUUAUUAUGUUUGGGAGAUGGUACUAUAAUUAAGCAUAAAACAAUUGGUCCUACUGAUAGUAAUCAAGUACAAAAAAUUAAUAAUAACAAAGAAAUUGUAAAUAAACAAAUGCAAAUAAAUGAUACAGAUGAAGAUACUUUGGUGGAUAAAACGAACGAACAGAAUGAUAUUGCUUAUAUAAAUGCAGAUAUUUCUAUGGUAGGAAAAACAAAAAAAAAAAAAAAACCUAAAAACAUGCACAAACAAAUAGAUAUGAUAUACGAAGAAUGUAAAAAGUAUGAGCAAGAUAAUUACACAAUGUAUAGACAAAAUGAUAAUAAUAUCGCUGUUUCUGAUACUACUCUUCAUAUCGAAUUAUACCAAAACGAUGGAACAGAAAAAACAAACACACAACAGAAUAAACAGAAUAAUGAUACAAACUGUAUGAAAAAAUUAAAUGAACAUGCACUCGUUAUAAAGAAAAUAAAUAUGAUCGAAAUAGUUUUUAGUUUAGAUAAUUAUUAUACAAAUACAAUUUUAAAAUCUUUAUACUCUUUAUUCAUUAAUGUACCAUUGUUCACUAAAAAGCAUAUGCAAGAUUUAUAUAAAAUUUUACUUUAUAGUAAUAAAAAAUAUAUUUUAAUAAAUAAAGAAAAUAUUUUUGAAAAUAAAUUUUAUAAUAAAGAAAAAAGUAAACAAAUGAAACAUAUUACGAAAAUUAUUACUAACCCUUUUAAAAAAUUAAAUAUUUAUCACAUGUUCUUUAUUUUUGCUAAUAGUAAUAUUGAAUCAUUUUUAAAAUAUAUAAUUAACUAUUUAAAUGAGAUUUACCAACCUGGUGCAUCAUAUACAUGUAUGGACACGGGUGAAGACACCGGUACAAAUGUAGGUAUAGACACCGGUAUAUAUGCAGGUAUAGACACCGGUACAAAUGCAGGUAUAGACACCGGUACAAAUGUAGAUACAGACAACGGCACAAAUACAUAUAUAUUUUACAAGUAUGAUAAAUCAGUUAUCUAUAACAAUGCACUUUUCUUUUUACAACAUUUAAUAGCCUUUCACCAUGUCACAGCUGAUACUAAACAUAUAAUUUAUGAAAUAGCACUAAAUUGUUUGUUCCUAUUAAUUGAUAUUUAUUUAAAAAACUGUGAUGAUUUGAUUAAAACUAUUAGAAAAAGGUAUAGAAAAAAAUUAAAAUUAAAUCAGUUGGAUAGUAUAUAUUUUUUUAAAAUUUUUUCAUUUAUAUCUAAAAAAAANNNNNNNNNNAAAAAGAAAAAGAAAAAGAAAAAGUCAUCAAAGUAAUAAAAAAACAAGAAAAUCCAUAUGUUGAUUUAAGAAUAGAAGAACAUAACUUAGUAAACGCUUUAUUAUAUAUAUCUGGUAAAAUACAAAUGUCACUAUUAAAUAAUUAUAUUUUUAAAAAAUUAAUAUAUCGUUUUAGAUAUAGAUUUACAUCGAGAGCAAAAAAUUUGGACUCAAAUAUUUAUCACAAAUCAGUAUAUAUAAAAAGACUAUUUUUUAUAUAUAUAUAUAUAAACUUUAUCAAAAUUUCGGUAUUAUAUUAGAUAGCAAAAAAAAAAGUUUAUUAAUAAUAGUAAACAUUAUUAUAUCAGCUUUAGAAAAUUCUUUAAAAUAUUGUCAGUAUUGUUCUACACAUAAUCUAUAUCGUACAUCUCGUGAACUGAUUGAUAACCGACAGAGUGACGGACUUAGUGAGAAUGAGAAUGAUCAAGACAGAGACGGGCAAAGUGACCAGCAAAGUGACCGACAAAGUGACCAACAAAGUGACCAACAAAGUGACCAACAAAGUGACCAACAAAGUGAAAAUGAAGAUAGUGAUACUCCUAUAAUAUCUCUCGCCGGAUAUACCAAAAUAAAAGAACUAAAAAGAAAUGUGUUAAAAAAAAA
rnacentral:lncRNA from 1 species